AGAAAUGAGAAACUUGAAAAGGCCGUUUGUUGAAUCCAGUGUGUUUUGGGUCAUGACACGAGUGAACAGGACUGUUUCUUGCCUUGACAAACACUGGUGCAGGCCCGUGUCAACGAUAAAGGCAAAUCUCCAUUCAAAUGGAGCCAGUUGGUGGAGCUGUGUGCAGGCAAUUAUGCACCCUCAGGAGAAAUGUGACCUACUUGAAGAACAGGAAACUGGCACUUCUCAGCAUGAGACUUAUUUUUGUCUUAAGGACACUGUGAGUCAGAUCCAACAGCACCGAAGGCAAGUUCUGGCUGCCAAGAAGGGAGCUGCAGGGUUGAAGCAUCCUCUCCCAGCCUCCUCCCACAGGACCAAGUCCUCACCAUCAGUUUUCUCUGUCUUUAAAAAACAACUUUUUUCUUUAUAUAUAUAUAUAUUUCAUUGAAGUAUAAUUGACUUACAAUGUUUCAAGUGCACAGCAAGGUGAUUCAGUUAUAAAUAUACACACAAUAUAAAUAUACAUAUAAAUAUACACAUAUAAAUAUAUACAUAUCAGAGAAGGCAAUGGCACCCCACUCCAGUACUUUUGCCUGGAAUAUCCCAUGGAUGGAGCCUGGUGGGCUGCAGUCCAUGGGGUCGCUAAGAGUUGGAUACAACUGAGUGACUUCACUUUCACUUUUCACUUUCAUGCAUUGGAGAAGGAAAUGGCAACCCAGUCCAGUGUUCUUACCUGGAGAAUCCCAGGGACGGGGGAGCCUGGUGGGCUGCCGUCUGUGGGGUUGCACAGAGUCGGACACGACUAAAGUGACUUAGAAGCAGCAGCAGCAUACACAUAUAUUAUUUUUCAGAUUAUUUUCCAUAAUAGGUUAUUAUAUGAUAUUGACUGCAGUUCCCUGUAAUAUACAGUAAACUUUUGUUGCUUGUUGCAUAUCUUUUUUUUUUAAUUAGAAAUCUAACAAGGUAUCAUUUAUAUGCCACAAAAAUAUCUGUUUUAAGUGUACAAUUCAAUGGUAUUUAGUACAUUUAAAGAGUUGUACAUAUCCUGUAAUCUAAUUUUAGAAUAUAUCCAUCAUCCCCCCCAGAAAGAAGCCUCCUGUGCAUUUGUGUUCAGACCCAAUUCUUACCCCCAGGCCCAGGCAACCACUGAUCUGCUUUCUGUCUGAACAGUUUUAUAUGCGGAUGAAACAGGGGAUGUCUUGCAAACAGUAUCUGCUGGGCACUUGGGAUGAAGCAAAACACAGACCAGUUGACUAUUUUUCAUAGUCUCAGAAAAAUAAAAAAAUUCAGUAACUUUAA
ensembl:lncRNA